AUCGCUGGAACCUGGGAGGUGGAGGCUACAGUGAGGUGAGACCACACCACUGCACUCUAGUCUGGGUAACAGAGCAAGACUCCUUCUCAAAAAAAUAAAAUCAAAUCUAUGUGUUUACCUAGAGAGAUAGCUAACACAAAUGUAGUAAAAUGUUAACAUUUGGGGAAUCUAGGUGCAGUGUAUCCAGAAUUUUUUUUACUCUUCUUGUAAGUCUGAAAUUAUGUUUUUUUUUAAAAAAAAAAAACCCAAUAAAUAUUAUUAGUUCCAACUCCAUCACUUAUCAGCUGUAUGUCCUUAUGUUAAAGUGUCUAUGCCUCACUUGUCAUGUGUCAAAUGGUGAUUGUAAAAGGACCUACAUUAUAGUAUUAUUAUAGGUGUUAGCUUAGUUAUGCCCUUAGGACACUGGCUGGCACAUAGUAGUGCUAUUAAGUCAUUCUCUCUUACUUUAUGCUCUUCUUCCCUUUAGAACCAAAGUUUUUGAAAGAACUAUCUGCAACAAAUUUUAUUCCUUUGACUCAAGCUCCCUCCUCAUCCCAUCACAGCUGGAUUUUGGCUCUCCAGCAUUUCAUUAACUAUGUCUUUCCCAAUGUUGCUAUCUCCUUCUUACUAAAUCCAGUGGGUACUUGUCUGUCCAUAUCUCGCUUGAUCUUUCCUUAGCAUUGGACUACAUGAACUACUUCUUCCUUUUUGAAAUAGUCUCUUCUCAUGGCUUCUGUAAAUUUUCUCUUCUUCCAUUAUUUCUUCUCCAUUGUGUUUGCCUUUUACUAUGCCUUUUCGUUGAGUGCUGGUUAAUGUUUUGUCAACUUAUGUUCUAUAAUAAAUGCAUUUGUAGUUUAGGGAGGAGUAUAUUAUUUCCUUCUUUGAAGAUGGCUUAAUUUAUAUUCUGAGUCUCUUCAGAGGGAUCAUAUUUGUGUAGUCAAAGGUAACAGAUCACAAGAUUUAGAGCCUACUAGUCAAGACCAAUUUUAAAUAUCUCUGGUGGCAAAAUUUCUUUCUCUUAAGGUGUUAGUAAAGCUUGCAGGGAAGUUACACAUUUAUCUUAAAGCUAAAAAUAACAAAAUAGUAGGCUUACAGAAGUAAUUUAGCAUCUGAGCUUCCACCCCACCUCUCAGCAGAGAGUUACUUUGUAUUCAUAUUUGUUCUCACUGUUGAUUCUAAUAAUCAAUGCGGGGCUUCUCAUUGAAAUUGUUUAUGAGAGAUGUAGGGGCUAAGAGAGUAAUUUGAAAACCAGAUGACUUGGAUUCACAUAUCGUCUGUACCUUUUACUAGCUUUAUGAACUUAAGGAAGUUACUUGACUUCUCUGUGCUCUAGUUUCCCCAUCUGUGCAAUGGGGAUCAUAGUACUUAGAACCUUAGAGCUCUAUUCGGUGGAAUAAAUGAGUCAAUGCAUGUGAAGCACUUAAACAGUGCUCAGUGUAAGCUGUUAUUAAUGGCAUAUUCAAUGUUUUGGAAGAAGACAGACUAUGAUAAGAUUUUAAUUUUGUAAGCUUUCUUAUUACCUCUUUCAUAUUUUACUUAUUGAAAGUAACUUCAAUAGGGCAUAUCAUUUUCCAGGCAAUAUUCUGAGUACCUUAAAGAUAUAAAUUAUUAAUUUUUAAUAGCAACACUUCGAGGAAAGUUCUCUUAAUAUUCCUAUUUUAUAUUUAAGAAACCUGAGGCACAAAGAAUAAGUUGCCCAAAGUCACAUAGCUAGCAGGUCUGCUUUCUUAACUAGUGCAUUAUGCUGUAUCUCACUUCCAUUUAUAAUCUGUCUUUUUAAAAAUUUCACUUUAUUUUUAUUUGACAAAUAGUUAAUUGUAUUAGUCUACAGAGUCACCUGUACCUUUUCUGUAUUUGGUUCACAUACCUAAUCAGUGACCGAGCCAAAAUUUUUUUAUUAUUUCCUUUUGCUUUCCCCAAAUCAUUGAAGAAUUGGGAAUCAGAGUGACAUGGUCAGUGUCUACCCCAAUGUGGAACAGAUGUUUGACAUAUUUUGAUGGGAAAUGAGAGAGUAAGCUUUUUUUCUCAAGGCCACUGAAAUGGACAUCUAUCAUUUAACGACUAUAAAUACCCCUGCUCAUAUUUAGUUACCUCCUACAGAAGCUCCCAGGAAGAACCACUUGUCUAGCCAAUAACUAAUGAACUAGCACAGAGAACUCUAGGUGGAAAAAGACAAGAAGAGAGAACUCUAGAUGGAAGAAGACAAAGAAGA